UUUUUUGGCUUCUGGAAAGGGGAGGCCAUUUUUUAGGAUUUCUUUUUGCUUCUUCUUCAUUCAUCAUCACUCCCACUUACCAUCUUCCUCACGCACACACAGUCAUCGGCGUUCAUGACCACUGAAACUACACACACGCACGACAACCAAAGAGAAAGGGGUUGAGGAGGCUGUGACAAAGAAGGAAAUGAAAAAAAAAUAGACUGAAACCAUCGAGUUUUGAUCGGAACAGUGAAACCGGUGAGGGAUUCGGUCACUGUCGAGCCUCCUCUGGUGGAAAAGUCGUCAGAAGCAGUCCCAUGUACCAACGACUGAUUCAGUUCCAAAAUCUCUGAAAAUCCCUUCGUUUCUUUGGUCUUCUUAGAUUAAUCUAGCCAGAAAACACUAAGGUCGCCGGAAUCAGCUUCGCUCCAACCAUUUUCUUCUCGAUUAUUUCCAUUAUUACCUCACUGAAGCCCGAAUAGUAUGGGUUCCUCAGUUUCUUUGGUAAUUCCCUGAUUUUCGAUCUGUUUUUGCCUAUUUUUCGAAGAUCUCGAACACGAUUUUCUGGAUUUUUGGCAUUGUUAGUCUUCAACUUGAGUGAUACUUCUUCUUUCUCGGGAUUCAAGUCAGUUCGUGUUAUUAUUUCUCAUUAUUGAGUUGGCGUGGCUCGUUAUUGAGGUUCGAUUCGAGGUUCUUCGGUGCCAUUUUUAUCUUCAAUAAAUUGAAAGCUCAAAGUUGAGGUCCAAUUCUAAUCUUAUCUUCUUUUACUUCAUUAUUUAUUGUGUUUGGUGCAUCGGAUUGAACAUUUGUGUGAUUGAGUGAUCUUUGUUGUUGGUGAACGAUUGCUCGUGUUAUUUCUUCAGUUAUGAAUCAUGUGAUGAAGUGAACCUUCUUGAGAAUUAAAAUUGUUGAUCUGGGGCGGAAUUGAGGAAUUGCUAAAAGGGUGAAUUUGGAUUGAUUAAAAACUUUUGGUUUAAUUUGGUUUAAGUAUAAAUAUGGUCGAAAUGUGAUAGAAUCAUGAUAGGUCGAGUCGGGUAAGCAAAUAGUAGGUUCGGGUAGGCAAAGUUUAGAAUUUAUGGUUUUGUUGAGUGUUUGAAAUUUUGCUGAACGUUUGAAAUUUUAUUGAAUGGUUUGAUUUUCUCGCGUUGAAAAAUUGUACUCAUUUGGUCGGGGAAUGCCCCGAGGGAUUUGUAUUGAUUUAUUCAGGGAAUGCCCCGAAGUACUACGUACUUGAAGACGACGCACGAUCAAGGCCCGAAACAUCGGGUGGAGAAAGCAAUGGAGUGUAGUAUAGAAUUAGCUUAGAAUAGAGUAGGUUUAUAUUUUCGCAUUUUUCUAUUUCGGGAUUGUAAUAAUCAGACUGGACAUUAUAAUUUUGGAUUUGUUUUGUUUGUUUGUUUGAUUGAUUGUUUUGUGUGAUUUUGUGUAGUUUAUAUAUUCAUAAUGUCAAAUUAGCCGAUACGCUCCACCAAGCGACCGUGGUCAAACCACGGGACCGAGGGGUGCCUAACACCUUCCUCUCGGUCAACAGAAUUCCUUGGUCGAAAUUUCUAUUCGCGGAUCAGUUUUACAGAGUCAAAAAUCAUUUUGAAAAGGGUUUUCCAAAGGUGACUUGGCACACCGGAUUAUGCCAAGUAGCGACUCUGAGUUUAGAAUAAAAUGAAUCCUUUUCGAAACAAAUCAUUUUCUUUUGUCACUUAAUAAUAAAACCCUUUCAAAACUUAAAACGAUCUUUUUUAUUUUGGAGUUAAAAGGGGUGUGACAACAACAAAUCUUGAAUUG
rnacentral:lncRNA from 1 species